CAGCCAAUGACACUGGACAUGUCAUCAGCCCUGGGCAACUUCAGGCGCAGUGUUGGGAAAAGACUAGACAAGGUCCCAAGGUCAAUUCCAGCCCCUGGAUCCUCUGAUCCCAGCCUCGCUCUGCAGGCAAGCCCAAGAGCUCCAAGCACAAUCGCCAAGAUGCUACCCAAGGAGGGAAGCAAGAUACCUGAAGGACACCCAAACCUCAGUCUUUCUAAUUGGGACCACACAAGAAGACUGAAAGUCAGUGCUGAGAGGAUCAUGAAGUCUCCUCCGGGUGGAGGGCACAGGAGCUGGUGAAGGUAAUUUUUAAUUGAAGCGAGUGAGAAGGCAGUAUAUAGAGCAAUAACAAUGAUUUAGCAACAGAGGGAGGCUGUCUGGGGCAUCAAGUGUGCCCUCAAUGGCCUCCUCUUUAAGCAACACUAGGUGAUAAGGGAGGAGAGAGGAAGGGGCAUUGGCAGCUCUAUCACAGCUGGAGUUCCAUUCAAGGGUCUUAAGGCUAAACGUCUUUAUUGCAAGACAUAGUAAAACCUAUUAAACAAAUGCACAUCAGCAACGUGUAUCUCCACCAGGGCUCCUAAAAUUUCCCAGAGUAUGCAUGGGAGACAUAGUGGUCAGUGCAACAAGGGGAAAUGAGAAUCUUCC
rnacentral:lncRNA from 1 species